UGGGCUUUUGGGUGUUGGACAACCAUAGGCAAAACUGAAAUGGAACAGGGGCAGAAAAUAGCACACUUUUACUCUACGCAACUGUUGCUUUUUCAUGAUCUUCAGGAAUUUUACUGGGAUAAUUAUCCAAAUAAAUUGCAAGCAUUCUAUCCAAAUGUCUGCAGAUGCACGGCUGGUGGUGUGGCUCAGACGGAGCAAGGGUUACAUCAAGGCUAUUCUCUGGACCGUGCAAACAGUCUAGACCAAUGACCUGCAGCAUCAUGUCCUUUGAAGAAGAGGCAAGUUCGGUCAUGAUGAAGAAAAAUCAAGGCGUACCCCUUUUAACAAUAGGGAGCAGCUCGAGGCUGCAAAGAGGAGCUCUUUCUGAGAUGAAGAGAAUUCUCAAUGUCAAGAUUUGAACAAGAAGAGAAUGGAAUACACAAUAUGGACAUCCAUAAAAAUUCAUCAGAGAGCAUUUUACUACUGAGCUGCAAAGGUAGGAAAAAUAAAUUUUUUUUGGUUAGAAAAUAUACUUCUUUCAUCUGCGUUUCAAUAAUUUAUUCCCCUUGUUAGAUAUACAUGGAAUUGAUAUUGCUUAUUCUGACUAAGUGAAAAGUGUUAUUUCUACUUACUGCUCAAUUAGAAACAUGUAGUGUUUAAUUGUCAGUUUGAAUUUUUCUUUCAUACUAUUACAGUUUAUAUUUUACUAUAGGCAGAAUUUCCUCUUUAUCCUAAAUUUUGAUAUUCUCCAUAAUUUCAUCGUGCCUUGACAUUGCUGUAUAUAAUUUCUAUACAUCAGGAAGGCAAUUCUGUGUGCAUGUGUGUGUGUAUAUAUAUAGUUAGAAGUUAGAAACUGAAACUCUUUUUUGUCUACCAUCAUUUCAUAUUUUUCUUGCUAUUUCAAACCUAUAAUUUUUAAAGAAACGACUAACGUAAUCAUUCAUAGAAUAUGCUGUCAGUAACUUAACAAUAUAAAUGUUAACAUGGAGGCAUUUAGUUCAGCAUUUGCUUUACUUAAUAGAGUGCAGAAAAUGUGGCCCUUUUCUCAGUUAGGGUGUAUGUGAAGAUAAAUUUAGAAUUUCUAGACUAGUAAAUACUUCUCUGAUAAUAACUUAAUUAUAGCUAUUUCAAACCAAAUUGUUUAAUUGUGGUGAAUCAUAUGUAAAUUGUUCAGAUGUAGGUCAACACCCACGCCCACAUUCUAGCACCUCUUUCCUAAUUCAAGACAACUUUGCAGUGCCUAAAAGAGCUGAACAGUGCAGAUUAGAGACAUAAGACAAAAAAAAAAAAAAAA
rnacentral:lncRNA from 1 species